rnacentral:rRNA from 1 species
GACGAACGCUGGCGGCGUGCUUAACACAUGCAAGUCGAACGGAAAGGCCCUGCUUUUGUGGGGUGCUCGAGUGGCGAACGGGUGAGUAACACGUGAGUAACCUGCCCUUGACUUUGGGAUAACUUCAGGAAACUGGGGCUAAUACCGGAUAGGAGCUCCUGCUGCACGGUGGGGGUUGGAAAGUUUCGGCGGUUGGGGAUGGACUCGCGGCUUAUCAGCUUGUUGGUGGGGUAGGGGCUUACCAAGGCUUUGACGGGUAGCCGGCCUGAGAGGGUGACCGGCCACAUUGGGACUGAGGUACGGCCCAGACUCCUACGGGAGGCAGCAGUGGGGAAUAUUGCACAAUGGGCGGAAGCCUGAUGCAGCAACGCCGCGUGCGGGAUGACGGCCUUCGGGUUGUAAACCGCUUUCGCCUGUGACGAAGCGUGAGUGACGGUAAUGGGUAAAGAAGCACCGGCUAACUACGUG